rnacentral:tRNA from 1 species
AAGGCUUUAGGUUAAAAAAACCUUUAGCCUUCAAAGCUAAAAAUAUAAGUCAAAUCCUUUUAAGUCUUA